rnacentral:rRNA from 1 species
CCACGGAGGGUGCAAGCGUUAUUCGGAAUCACUGGGCGUAAAGGACGCGUAGGCGGGUUGGCAAGUCAGAUGUGAAAUCCUACAGCUCAACUGUAGAACUGCACUUGAAACUACAGACCUAGAGUAUGGAAGGGGCAGAUGGAAUUAGUGGUGUAGGGGUAAAAUCCGUAGAUAUCACUAGGAAUACCGAAAGCGAAGGCGAUCUGCUGGGACAUUACUGACGCUGAGGCGUGAAAGCGUGGGGAGCAAACAGGAUUAGAUACCCUAGUAGUCC